UCCUUUCACCCAUGAAUUGUUGUGUGUGUAUUUAAGAGAACUGAGACUAAUGUAUUUCCCACAGUUUCCUAAGGCUUCCCCUCUGUUUACAUGUUCAAAAGGAAAAUCGCAAUCACUUGUAAAUGUGCCAUGUUUUGGUGGUGUGGGCAAUCAAUUAUAGUUAGUAUCUUUACCAAAGAUCUGGAAUUAGGGUAACCUUUCUAUUUUAGUACUGAAACCCUGUGCUCUUCUGUCUUUUUUAAAACGGUCUUCCCUCAUUUUGUAUAAUUAGUCAGUUACAGAAAGCUAACAUCCUGAAGGAAACACAACUGUUCCUUCAGUGUUAAAAAAGUACAAAUUGCUUCUGAGGCAUUAUUUGCCCUAAAAUAUAGUGGGCUUUUGUUUUGAGACUGGGUUUCACUCUAUAGCCCAGGCUGGCCUUGAACUUGCCGCUGUGUCCUUGCCUCAGUUUCUCAGCUUCAGGAUUAUGGACAGAAAUCACCAUGCCUGGCAUGUAACUAUUUUUGAGGCUGAAAUAGCUAAUGAAAAGCCCUAUCUAGAUCCAGAUUUUAUAUGACAUCAAAUUAGGGAAGUGGAGGGAAUUAUUUGGGAUGUGUUAGAUCUAAGAAUUUUUCUAAUGUGUCAACUUGGGCUCAGGUUGUAGUUGAGUGCCUGCUUAGCAUAUACAAGGCCCUGGGAUUGAGCCCCAGUAUGGAAGAAAAGACUUAACAAGUAUCUUUUAAAAGAGAGCUAUGUAUUUUUCAUGUAGUCUGUGAUUUUAAAGAUAAUCAUUUUGUUAGAUUUUUUUUUUUUUUUUUUUUUGGUAAUCAUGAGUUCCCUUGCAUCCCCUCUUAAUUUUAAUCUUGAUUUAUCCUACAGGCAUGUCCUUCCUACCUUUUGACAUUUUAAAAACUUGCAAAAAACAAAUCAUGUUUUAAAAGUAUGAUUUUGUGUUCUGCUGAAUUUAUAGCUAUCCUUGACUACGGGUUGGA
rnacentral:lncRNA from 1 species